rnacentral:rRNA from 1 species
GCAAGUCGAGCGGUAACAGGGGAGCUUGCUCCUGCUGACGAGCGGCGGACGGGUGAGUAACGCGUAGGAAUCUGCCUAGUAGAGGGGGACAACAUGUGGAAACGCAUGCUAAUACCGCAUACGCCCUAAGGGGGAAAGGAGGGGAUCUUCGGACCUUUCGCUAUUAGAUGAGCCUGCGUAAGAUUAGCUAGUUGGUGGGGUAAAGGCCUACCAAGGCGACGAUCUUUAACUGGUCUGAGAGGAUGGCC